AGUGAACGCUGGCGGUAGGCCUAACACAUGCAAGUCGAACGGCAGCACAGUAAGAGCUUGCUCUUACGGGUGGCGAGUGGCGGACGGGUGAGGAAUACAUCGGAAUCUACUUUUUCGUGGGGGAUAACGUAGGGAAACUUACGCUAAUACCGCAUACGACCUACGGGUGAAAGCGGGGGAUCUUCGGACCUUGCGCGAUUGAAUGAGCCGAUGUCGGAUUAGCUAGUUGGCGGGGUAAAGGCCCACCAAGGCGACGAUCCGUAGCUGGUCUGAGAGGAUGAUCAGCCACACUGGAACUGAGACACGGUCCAGACUCCUACGGGAGGCAGCAGUGGGGAAUAUUGGACAAUGGGCGCAAGCCUGAUCCAGCCAUACCGCGUGGGUGAAGAAGGCCUUCGGGUUGUAAAGCCCUCUUGUUGGGAAAGAAAAGCAGCAGGUUAAUACCCCGCUGUUCUGACGGUACCAAAAGAAUAAGCACCGGCUAACUUCGUG
rnacentral:rRNA from 1 species